AUUGAACGCUGGCGGCAUGCCUUACACAUGCAAGUCGAACGGCAGCACGGGAGCUUGCUCCUGGUGGCGAGUGGCGAACGGGUGAGUAAUACAUCGGAACGUACCCUGAAGUGGGGGAUAACGUAGCGAAAGUUACGCUAAUACCGCAUAUUCUGUGAGCAGGAAAGAGGGGGAUCGCAAGACCUCUUGCUUUAGGAGCGGCCGAUGUCGGAUUAGCUAGUUGGUGAGGUAAAGGCUCACCAAGGCGACGAUCCGUAGCGGGUCUGAGAGGAUGAUCCGCCACACUGGGACUGAGACACGGCCCAGACCCCUACGGGAGGCAGCAGUGGGGAAUUUUGGACAAUGGGCGCAAGCCUGAUCCAGCCAUGCCGCGUGAGUGAAGAAGGCCUUCGGUUGGUAAGUACGU
rnacentral:rRNA from 1 species